rnacentral:rRNA from 1 species
AACGUAGGGCGCGAGCGUUGUCCGGAUUUAUUGGGCGUAAAGAGCUCGUAGGCGGUUUGUUGCGUCGUCUGUGAAAACCCACGGCUCAACUGUGGGCUUGCAGUCGAUACGGGCAGGCUAGAGUUCGGUAGGGGAGACUGGAAUUCCUGGUGUAGCGGUGAAAUGCGCAGAUAUCAGGAGGAACACCGGUGGCGAAGGCGGGUCGCUGGGCCGAUACUGACGCUGAGGAGCGAAAGCGUGGGGAGCGAACAGG